rnacentral:lncRNA from 1 species
UUUCUUUUGCAAAAGAGUAGAAACCAUGCUUUAGGUCUAUAUUUCUGUAUGUGUAAUAGCAUCCAUGCUCAACACAUAUCAUGCAAUAGAAACCAUGCUCUUAGGUCUUAUGUAUACUGUUUCAGCAUCUCAUUUUGACAUUUUUAUCAUUCAGAAACCUCGUUUUAGGAUAAAGGUGCAUUAAAAGAAAGAUUGCUACUCUUGUACACUUGACAUCAUGCUCUAUAACGCUGUAACUUUUUCUGCAUUUAGAAAUCCUGCUUUAGGAAAUUCCGUAAUCCUACCAUGCAUUUAGAAAUCCUGCUUUAGGAAUUCUGCAUUUAAAUCAUCAUGAACUUUAUACGUGCAUCUUAGAUACCAUGCUUUAGGAUCUCAUUCGUACUUUCUCAAUCACACCUAGUGUAAAUUAUUGAGUAUGAAAGAUGUAAAAAAGAGCUUCACCUUUGAUUAUCCUGUUUAAAAUAAACCGUAACAAUCCCUGCAUUUUAUAACACUUAGAACAGUAUGCUUUAGGUAAAAUAACUCCUUCAUUAUUCUAAUAGGCCUAGUAACAAUUGUGCAUUAUCCUACGCCUAGGCAAGCCUUAGGUAAUCCAAUUUCUUAAAAUUGGAAACUACCCCUUUGUGUGUAC